CCUCCCUCACUUGGAGGGACCCCAUGAAUGGUGCUUCCACUCUGAAAUUAAUGUUUAGUUAGGAGUUAGAGUUGAGGCUCUAUUCUUUGUCAUUCUAAAGUCAUUACAAGGAGUUUGGUAUAAGUCCUCUUGUAUCUUAUUUUGUGUUUGAAGGAUGCAUAAGUGGGCUUAGACUUAUGUGGUGUGGUCAUCCAAAUGAUCAAUACCUCAAGCAAGAGUGAAAGACAUUAGAAGACUUGUUAAAGAUCUAAAAGUACAAGCAAAAGUCUAAGGCACUAGAUGGAAUCAAGUUGAACGUGAAGAUUAUGAAGAAACUAGAAUAAAAAGGGUUCUAUAUGCAUGGAACUAUCCCUAAGGUGGUGCCAGACCAUAGACCGAGCAAACUCGAGCUGAUAUCGACAAAAGCAUUGGAUCGAAUAUCGAACCGAACAUUUAACCAAUAGUGGAGAAGGCGUCAGACUAUAUGAUCCCACUGUUGAUGCUUAGAGGAGCAUUAGAUCCACAGUGAAACCGGGCUUCAGACCAUACAUUCCCACUGCUCACGCUUAGAGGAGCGUUAGACCAUCCUAUGCAUAGGCAUUGGACCAACAAACGUGGAGCACGAUGGUUAGCAGAAAUGUUCUAGAAAGGAAAAUGA
rnacentral:lncRNA from 7 species